rnacentral:rRNA from 1 species
GACGAACGCUGGCGGCGUGCCUAACACAUGCAAGUCGAGCGAUGAAGCUCCUUCGGGAGUGGAUUAGCGGCGGACGGGUGAGUAACACGUGGGUAACCUGCCUCAUAGAGAGGGAUAGCCUUCCGAAAGGAAGAUUAAUACCUCAUAAGAUUGUAGUUUCGCAUGAAACGGCAAUAAAAGGAGCAAUCCGCUAUGAGAUGGACCCGCGUCGCAUUAGCUAGUUGGUAAGGUAAUGGCUUACCAAGGUGACGAUGCGUAGCCGACCUGAGAGGGUGAUCGGCCACAUUGGGACUGAGACACGGCCCAGACUCCUACGGGAGGCAGCAGUGGGGAAUAUUGCACAAUGGGGGAAACCCUGAUGCAGCAACGCCGCGUGAGUGAUGACGGUCUUCGGAUUGUAAAACUCUGUCUUUGGGGACGAUAAUGACGGUACCCAAGGAGGAAGCCACGGCUAACUACGUGCCAGCCGCCGCAGUAAUAC